UAGGAAAGUCAUAAAUAUAUAAAUUAUAUUAUAUAAUUAAUAUAAUAAUAAAAUAAAUUAUAUAUUUUAUUUAUAAUAUUAUUUCUUUAUAAGAUAAAUAUUAUCUAAUUAAUAAUUAGAUUGAAUAAUAUUUAUAAAGAAAUAUAUAUAUAUAUAAAAAAUCAUUAUAUAAAUUUAAUUAUAAUUUAAAUAAAUUUUAUAUAAAUUAAUAUAAUAUUAAUAAAGUAAUUAGUAUAAAUAAAUAAUAUGAAAAUAAAACUUAAUAAAUAUAUAAAUAUAGUCCAUAUAUAUAUAUUAAUAAAAAGUAAUAUAUAUAUAUAUAUUGGAAUAGUUAUAUUAUUAUACAGAAAUAUGCUUAA
rnacentral:misc_RNA from 1 species